rnacentral:rRNA from 1 species
UUUUGGACAAUGGGGGCAACCCUGAUCCAGCCAUGCCGCGUGAGUGAAGAAGGCCUUCGGGUUGUAAAGCUCUUUCGGACGGAACGAAAUGGGUGGGGUUAAUACCCCUGUCCGAUGACGGUACCGUAAGAAGAAGCACCGGCUAACUACGUGCCAGCAGCCGCGGUAAUACGUAGGGUGCGAGCGUUAAUCGGAAUUACUGGGCGUAAAGCGUGCGCAGGCGGUUUCGUAAGCUGGAGGUGAAAUCCCCGGGCUUAACCUGGGAAUGGCCUUCAGGACUGCGAGGCUAGAGUGCGGCAGAGGGAGGUGGAAUUCCACGUGUAGCAGUGAAAUGCGUAGAUAUGUGGAGGAACACCGAUGGCGAAGGCAGCCUCCUGGGCCAGCACUGACGCUCAUGCACGAAA